rnacentral:rRNA from 1 species
GACGAACGCUGGCGGCGUGCUUAACACAUGCAAGUCGAACGGAAAGGCCCUGCUUUUGUGGGGUGCUCGAGUGGCGAACGGGUGAGUAACACGUGAGUAACCUGCCCUUGACUUUGGGAUAACUUCAGGAAACUGGGGCUAAUACCGGAUAGGAGCUCCUGCUGCAUGGUGGGGGUUGGAAAGUUUCGGCGGUUGGGGAUGGACUCGCGGCUUAUCAGCUUGUUGGUGGGGUAGUGGCUUACCAAGGCUUUGACGGGUAGCCGGCCUGAGAGGGUGACCGGCCACAUUGGGACUGAGAUACGGCCCAGACUCCUACGGGAGGCAGCAGUGGGGAAUAUUGCACAAUGGGCGGAAGCCUGAUGCAGCAACGCCGCGUGCGGGAUGACGGCCUUCGGGUUGUAAACCGCUUUCGCCUGUGACGAAGCGUGAGUGACGGUAAUGGGUAAAGAAGCACCGGCUAACUACGUGCCAGCAGCCGCGGUGAUACGUAGGGUGCGAGCGUUGUCCGGAUUUAUUGGGCGUAAAGGGCUCGUAGGUGGUUGAUCGCGUCGGAAGUGUAAUCUUGGGGCUUAACCCUGAGCGUGCUUUCGAUACGGGUUGACUUGAGGAAGGUAGGGGAGAAUGGAAUUCCUGGUGGAGCGGUGGAAUGCGCAGAUAUCAGGAGGAACACCAGUGGCGAAGGCGGUUCUCUGGGCCUUUCCUGACGCUGAGGAGCGAAAGCGUGGGAGCGAACAGGCUUAGAUACCCUGGUAGUCCACGCUGUAAACGGUGGGUACUAGGUGUGGGGUCCAUUCCACGGGUUCCGUGCCGUAGCUAACGCUUUAAGUACCCCGCCUGGGGAGUACGGCCGCAAGGCUAAAACUCAAAGGAAUUGACGGGGCCCCGCACAAGCGGCGGAGCAUGCGGAUUAAUUCGAUGCAACGCGUAGAACCUUACCUGGGUUUGACAUGGACCGGGAGUGCUCAGAGAUGGGUGUGCCUCUUUUGGGGUCGGUUCACAGGUGGUGCAUGGCUGUCGUCAGCUCGUGUCGUGAGAUGUUGGGUUAAGUCCCGCAACGAGCGCAACCCUUGUUCACUGUUGCCAGCACGUUAUGGUGGGGACUCAGUGGAGACCGCCGGGGUCAACUCGGAGGAAGGUGGGGAUGACGUCAAGUCAUCAUGCCCCUUAUGUCCAGGGCUUCACGCAUGCUACAAUGGCUGGUACAGAGAGUGGCGAGCCUGUGAGGGUGAGCGAAUCUCGGAAAGCCGGUCUCAGUUCGGAUUGGGGUCUGCAACUCGACCUCAUGAAGUCGGAGUCGCUAGUAAUCGCAGAUCAGCAACGCUGCGGUGAAUACGUUCCCGGGGCU